UGAAGAUGGGUUCUCUUGGCAUUUCAAGGUUUCAAUGCUCUCAAGCAAUUCAUCUCUUGGUCUUGACUGGUUUCAGCAAUUGGUGCUUUCAAACACGGUAUGCUUAGGCAUGCAUACUGAUAUGAAGAUCUGUAGAGCAAAAAACUGUACUCCACACAAUGAUUCAUGGUUGAUUUCUAAUAGAAGAGUUCGCCAAUUAUUGCUUUGAAACAUGGUGGAUUGCUUGUGGAGGGCCUGAGAUCUCCAAAAGUCUAAAAAGAUGUUUUCAUUGUUUGAGAAAGGAUGCUAUUCAUGGGCUGCUAGUAAUUAUGGGGAUAGAGUUGAAGGAGAAUUUAAAAAAAAACAAUUAAUCACGUUAUCAGAUGGGCCCUAAUAUCAUGAUUUGUGCCAUAUUAAGGUAUAUACCGGUGUGCAUCCAAAAAUUUAUAGAUGUGUUGGUGUUUAUGUGUGUGAUGCAUGCAAGUUGUUUUUAAAAGUUUUGAGAAAAUUUGGAAAAUAUAUGAUCGAGUUUGUCAUUUUAUUUGUAAAUGAUAAGACAUAAUAUUUUACUUAGGGCAUGUUUGGGAGUGUUUUUGCAAUGGCUAAAAGCACUUCCUGAUAAAUUCUAACUGCAUUUGGUAAAACAAUUCAAAAUUUCUUGCGAGUCAUAAAUCGCUUUUUGGAGAGGUGCUUAUGAGCAAAAGUACUUCAUGUAGAAGCACUUGCAUAAGACUUUUCAUUAACAACUUAAGGCUCGUUUAAGAGUGAUUAUGGAUAGGUCAAUAAUCACUUUUAUGGAGAAUCAUUUAUCCAAAUAAUCACUUUUAGUGAUGUUAUGAAGAAUCACAUGGGAUAUGUUUCUCUUUACAAUUACUUCACUUUUAGUGAUUUUCUGGAGAAGCACAUGGGAGACCCUUCUAGGGGCGGAGCCAACAUGGGACCAGUGUGGUCCCAGGCCCUCACUCCAUUUUUACCUCUUCUAUUUGUAUAUUAUAUAUGAUAUAUGAUAUUAUAAUAUAUUAGAUUAGUUUUAGGAUAUUUACCCUUUAAAAAAAAAAAUAUAUAUAUUAGGUUCAUUUUGUCCACAAAUUAACCAUAAAAUUUCUUGAUCUCCCUUCUACUCAUCUCCCUUAAAUCUUCUAGGUUAGUUUAUGAUAUGUGCACUAAAAACUCCUAAAGUUUUAACAUUUCUUUCUCUUUUUCUUCCUCUUGUAUUUUCCUCAUUUUUUAUGUAUGAGUUGGGUACCUAAAUAUUGCGGUUUAUGAACUCUCUGUUUUUUUUCCUAUUUCUUUUCUAUGUUGGAACAUAAAUUAUUAAUUUUUAAGUCUUUAAUAGUGUAGAUGAUGAAAUUAAUAUUUAACCAAUUUAAAAUAUGAAAUUCAUGAUAGUUAUGAAGAGAGACAGGUUUUAUUUUAUGAAGGGCAAAUCCUGGCUUUGCUAUUGGGUGCUUCUUCCCAGAAAUGAUUCUGGCCUAUCUAGAAUCACUCACAAACGAGCCCUUAGAUGUGCUUGGAUUUGAGAGUGAUUUUAGCCCAAAGUGUUUUUGGUUAAUUAAAAAAAACUCAUUUAUUUUUUGUAGUUUUUGGUAAAAAUAGAUAGAAGUGCUUUUUGCAUGGUUAAAAAACCAUUUAACCCAAAAAGCACUUUAGUCUUCAUGGAAAAGUAAGGUCCAUGAAGAAACGUUUGCAGAUGAAAAUGUGGUUUCAUUUGAGCGAGGUCUUUGUAAGACCCACUAUAUAUUGUAGUUUAAUUGUCCAAAUCGUCGGUUUUUUAGGUAUCCAUGUAAAGAUCAUUUGAGUGAAAAAAAAAUCACCAAAAUACGAAACAAAAUCAUUUGAUUAAAGGUGGUAACUAUUUUCCUAAUGAGAUCUAGAAUAGUGAAAAAGGGCCUUGACUUGUAGAACAGUGAUCUUCCAGUUCGAACCUCCAUGGUACAUUGGUAGUGUA